AACGAUAUGAGCAGAUGCAAACAAAAGAUGGCAGGAAUGGCAGAAGUCGGAAUUCCUAUAGAGAGAAGAAGGGAGAGGAGAGAUGUAGAAGGGACGUACUCUUUAAUAUAUCUGGAUGGGAGGGGGUAAUCUUGUUAAACCCUGUUGUGCUGGGGAUAGAGCAUUGCAAUUAUUGCUUUUCAACGAGGAAUACCUAGUAGGUAAGAGUCAUCAGCUCGUGCCGAUUACGUCCCUGUCCUUUGUACACACCGCCCGUCGCUACUACCGAUUGAAUGGCUCGGUGAGGCCUCUGGACUGGCCCAGGGGGCAAGCGUGAUUGAUUUAUACUGGACCUGAACAAACACCUCUUGUUUUUAAUCUAUAUUCCUAAUAUGGCCUAAUUGUCACUGUUAUCAGAUUGUAUUUUCUGAUCCGCCUGCAUUGUAUACAAAAACGCCUUUAUAUUGUCGCUUUAUUUGCCUAUCUAUACUAUAAAUACUCUGUAUAUAAGACUGUAUGAAAAAGG
rnacentral:ncRNA from 1 species